GCUCCCUCUGCCCUUCUCCUUCUGUCUGCACCCUCUCAUUUGUCACAUUUACAAUGGAAACAUCCAAAUUUACAGAUGCUAUCAAUUAAUCACCUACGCUCUAAUUACAAUCCAAUUAACCUCGCUUUCCAUGCUCCCUGCCUGCAGCAGGACGGACAUUUCUCUGUCCCAGUUUCCUCCAUACUCAAUCACUAAGCACACAUACACACACACAAAGAGAAAGGAAGUGAGGGAGAGAGACUGGAAAGAAAACGAAAGAAUGAGAGAGAGAGAGAGAGAGAGAGAGAGAGAGAGAGAGAGAGAGAGAGAGAGAGAGAGAGAGAGAGAAAGCAAGAGAGAGCUAGAGAGAGGGAAUGAGACCAUGAGCUGGAAUUGGUGUCUCUCUGGAGGGGAGACACAGGUGUGUCUUGUGAGAGAGAAGAGCUGGAUGAGCACUGUCAAGAGGAGGGAAGGAUGAGUUCAAUCUUUAGGCUUUGCUUCCCUCUGUCACCAUGGGAUACGGGAGGGAGUGAGUGUUGAGGGGAGGAGGGUGGAUGUGUAGGUCUAUACCGAUCCUCUCACCCCGACCCCAACCACUAUCACCUCUAUCCCCUGCUCUAUGCUCUAACCCAGAUAUACUCCAUGACUAUAGAGGGUGGAUGUGUGUCUACCCCUCAGUUCUAGCCCACAUAUACUCCAUGACUAUAGAGGGUGGAUGUGUGUCUCCCCCUCAGUUCUAACCCAGAUAUACUCCAUGACUAUAGAGGGUGGAUGUGUGUCUACCCCUCAGUUCUAACCCAGAUAUACUCCAUGACUAUAGAGGGUGGAUGUGUGUCUCCCCCUCAGUUCUAGCCCACAUAUACUCCAUGACUAUAGAGGGUGGAUGUGUGUCUCCCCCUCAGUUCUAACCCAGAUAUACUCCAUGACUAUAGAGGGUGGAUGUGUGUCUACCCCUCAGUUCUAACCCAGAUGGAUAUACAUGAUUGUUUAUUUAUUUAUUGUUUUAUUUAUAGUUUUUAUUUCAGUGUCAUACACCAAUUGGUGCCCAGCCCGUAUGG
rnacentral:lncRNA from 1 species